GAUGAACGCUGGCGGCGUGCUUAACACAUGCAAGUCGAACGGUGAAGCGCCUUCCUUUUUGGUGGGUGUGGAUGAGUGGCGAACGGGUGAGUAACACGUGAGUAACCUGCCCCCUUCUUCUGGAUAACCGCAUGAAAGUGUGGCUAAUACGGGAUAUUCUGGGUCUGUCGCAUGAUGGGUCUGGGAAAGAUAUUGUUUCGGUGGGGGAUGGGCUCGCGGCCUAUCAGCUUGUUGGUGGGGUGAUGGCCUACCAAGGCGGUGACGGGUAGCCGGCCUGAGAGGGUGGACGGUCACACUGGGACUGAGACACGGCCCAGACUCCUACGGGAGGCAGCAGUGGGGAAUAUUGCACAAUGGGCGCAAGCCUGAUGCAGCGACGCCGCGUGAGGGAUGGAGGCCUUCGGGUUGUGAACCUCUUUCGCCAGUGAAGCAGGCCUGCCUCGUUUGUGGGUGGGUUGACGGUAGCUGGAUAAGAAGCGCCGGCUAACUACGUG
rnacentral:rRNA from 1 species